AUUGAACGCUGGCGGCAUGCCUUACACAUGCAAGUCGAACGGCAGCGCGGGUGCUUGCACCUGGCGGCGAGUGGCGAACGGGUGAGUAAUAUAUCGGAACGUGCCCUAGAGUGGGGGAUAACUAGUCGAAAGAUUAGCUAAUACCGCAUACGAUCUACGGAUGAAAGUGGGGGAUAGCAAGACCUCAUGCCCCUGGAGCGGCCGAUAUCUGAUUAGCUAGUGGGGGGGGUAAACUCCUACCAAGGCGACGAUCAGUAGCUGGUCUGAGAGGACGACCAGCCACACUGGGACUGAGACACGGCCCAGACUCCUACGGGAGGCAGCAGUGGGGAAUUUUGGACAAUGGGGGCAACCCUGAUCCAGCAAUGCCGCGUGUGUGAAGAAGGCCUUCGGGUUGUAAAGCACUUUUGGCAGGAACGAAACGGUGAGGGCUAAUAUCCUUUGCUAAUGACGGUACCUGAAGAAUAAGCACCGGCUAACUACGUGCCAGCAGCCGCAGUAA
rnacentral:rRNA from 1 species